UAGAGAGAGACAUGCGCGCAUAUCAAUAAGCGGAGGAAAAGAAACUAACAAGGAUUCCCCUAGUAACGGCGAGUGAAGCGGGAAGAGCUCAAAUUUGAAAUCUUAAAGGGUUUCCCUUUACGAAUUGUAGUUUAAAGAAGUGUUUUCUGUUGAGGUUUUGGUAAAAGUUCUUUGGAAUAGGACAUCAUAGAGGGUGAGAAUCCCGUAUUUGACCUUUACUUUCAACUUUGUGAUACACUUUCAAAGAGUCGGAUUGUUUGGGAAUGCAGUCCAAAAUGGGUGGUAAAUUUCAUCUAAAGCUAAAUAUUGGCGAGAGACCGAUAGCGAACAAGUACCGUGAGGGAAAGGAUGAAAAGAACUUUGAAAAGAGAGUUAAACAGUACGUGAAAUUGUCAAAAGGGAAGCGUUUGACACCAGUGUUGUUUUUCUGAAAAUCAAUUAAAGAACUGUUUAUGCUAAGCUGUUUAGACUUUAUCAGCUAAUCUGUUUAGUUUUGAGCUUUUCUUUAAUGCACUUUUCAGUUAACAAGUCAACAUCAAUUUCUUUUGCUGUAAAAAAGCUUGAGGAAGGUGGCUUGAGAUUCGUCUUAAGUGUUUAUAGCCUCUUGCCUAUGCAGUCGGAGAGAUUGAGGUCUGCAGCGUAGAUCCUUCGGGGCUAAAUGCAUUUGUGCUAAGUUAUAGCAUUUUAUAGACAACUUGUUGACUAUGAUUUGUCUUGUAGCUUACUCGCUUAUGUUAUUUUACCUACGCUUAGGAUGUUGACGCAUGAGAUAUACGC
rnacentral:rRNA from 1 species